UGGCGCAGGGAUACCUAAAGGUGCUUGCCUGUAGGAGGGAAUGUACGCUGUGAGAGUCCAGGGCUCAGUGAUACACUUCCCAAACGCCCGGAAGGCCCCUGUGAAAAAACGGCGCGCAAGGAUCAACAGCCUGCGGGAGUUGGGGCUGUUGCCCGCGGCCGCCGAGAUGCGGCAAGCGACUGGGUGGACGCCACGUGGGGCUACUAGGAGGUGGUUCCGGGAGCGCUCGUCCCGGAUAAUUGCCUUUCUCCAUCUGCACACACGCAGGCCAAGCUGGACCUCCCGGAGGUGCUGGAGCUGAUGGCGCGCGCGAAUUGAGCUCUAAGCCCUAAGCAAGAUCAAAGAGGGAAAGCAGCUAACAGUAUCUUAUAUCAGCUUCUUCAAAGUCGAUAGACUGGAGGAAAAGCAACUGGAAAAGCUGUACUCAUGACCACACAUGUGAACUCUCAGGAAAGAUACCAAAGGACAAACUCUUCUUGAGGUAAAAAGCAACUUAAAGCUGGUGGUGCUGUUUGGGGAGGUUUCAAAACUCUGAGAAGGUGGAGCUGAGCCGAGGAAGUCCAAGUCCAUCACUGGAGGCAGGUCUUGAGGGUUAUAGCCUUGACCUGCUUCCAGUUUCAUCUCUGCUUCCUGGCCCAAGUUAUGCAUCAUCAAGCUGCAAUGCACGCUCGCUGCCAUGGAUGGAGUCCCCGCUGCCAUGGAUGGAACUCCCGCUGCCAUGGAAGGAGACCCCGCUGCCAUGCCUUCCCUCCCACGAUCAACUGUACCUCCUCAAACUGUAAGCCAAACUAAAACCUUUCCUCCCUUGAGUGUUUCUAUCAGGUAUUCUCUCACAGUGAAAAGAAAAUUAAUACGAAUGCUAACCAGUUUCUAAUAUUUGAUCAUCAACAUUUAUGAUUUAGAAGAAUUAUCUGAUUCUCUAGCAUUGGCAGAAAGUAUAAAGCUUUUAAUUAUUUAAUCCCCAUUAUUUUGGUAGAUAGUUUAAGAACAAUCCCAAUUCUGCUAGUGCCCUGUAGCUAAGACCAGACAGGGAGAUAAGGUAUUCUGAGACUUUCCAGCUCGGUGGGUGAUUUUGCAGAUGCAUUUCAGACAGCUUCCAUAAAUUCUCCUUGAGUUUAAAGCCCUGUGGUUGGUGAUAACAGAGCUACUGUAAUGCUUCUAUUUAUAUAAAAAAAUAAGCUAUUUUCCCUCCCAAGAGCCUGUAUUUGUGAAGUCUAACCGAGAUCACUAGAUCUAACAUUUGGAAUGUAAAUGACUCUUUGUAAGGGUGUGGACUUAUAAGAUGUAAAUUUCCAAGAGAAGUCUUCCUACCACCUUGAGAGCUUAACCAAGGGAUUGUCUCAAACUAUAAUCAUUUGCUUAAAGAGGAGCUGAGAAGUUCUAUUAUUCUUUUUGUAAAUCUUAUGGACUAAAACAACUACCUCAAUUUGCAGAUGAAUUUAGGAUGAGCUGAAAUGAAAAAAGAAACAUUAAAAUUGUGCUGAAAGACACGUUAAAAAUCGUUGAAUAACCUGUGCCAAAUGUCCUACUUUAUAUUAGAUAAAAAUUAUAGGAGGCCAUUGUUUGGGAUUCUAAGCUGCUGCAGGAAGCCCCAACAGAGCAUAAUAAAUAUUGAAAUAUUGUUACUCAUACUGAAGCAAGUUAUCUGACCUUCCACAAAUGAGAGGCAAUAAUGCAAUUUCUCAGGCAGGCCAGUUAUAGUAGGCAUGAAAACAAAAUCCUCCCUGUUUCCAAUCUUUAUCCCAAAAAGUAACCUGAAGUAACCUAAAGUUAACCAAUCAGUGUGUUUUCUUUUGUUCUCUAUAUCUUCUGCCAAAGGAACCUUGAAACAACUAAUCCGGUUUGUUAUUUGUGUAUGCUUUUUUCAGCUUCUCUUCGUUUCUCAGUCUUCUGCUCACUUCAUUGGAACAUGUCUUUCUGUUUCAUGAAAUGAAAUGCUGCUGAGUCAAGCACCACAAAGUCACUUAGGGAUCUUUGAGAUAAAUUUUUUGUAUUUUGCCUUUUGACAGCAGUCUUGUUCAGAUUGCCUAUGUGCACAUAACUUGAGUAUGCUUAUUAAAUAAUCAAACAUAAUUAUUUUCUAUGCUUUAUAGAGUAUCCUGUGUUAGUAGCAUUUUUACUUCCUGAAUAUGAUGGCUACCAGCAGAUAGAAAACAGGGUGAAAAAUGUUAGAAGUCAAAAGUCCAGGCAAUGUAUAUAAUACCUACUUAUCUAGACUUGAA